rnacentral:rRNA from 1 species
CAGUCGCCGCGGUAAUACAGAGGAUGCAAGCGUUAUCCGGAAUGAUUGGGCAUAAAGCGUCUGUAGGUGGCUUUUCAAGUCCGCCGUCAAAUCCCAGGGCUCAACCCUGGACAGGCGGUGGAAACUACCAAGCUGGAGUACGGUAGGGGCAGAGGGAAUUUCCAGUUGAGCGGUGAAAUGCGUUGAGAUCGAAAAGAACACCAACAGCGAAAGCACUCUGCUGGGACGACACUGACACUAAGAGACGAAAGCUAGGGGAGCAAAUGGGACUAGAUACCCCGGUAGUCCCUGUCUCUUAUAC